AUAUUUCUCUGGUAUGGGAGCUGUUUCCUAUGAUCCUGUAGGUGGAGCUCCUGGGAUGAGGUGUAUCCAUUGCACUCUGGCUGCGCUGACUCCUGUGAUUUCCUCAAAUGUGGGAAACUUAACUGCAUAAUUUGUGAUAGUGGGGGACUGCGUUUGCGCUCUUUGCUG
rnacentral:snRNA from 1 species